AUGAUGUCCUACAGGUUGCUGAAAUACAUGUGGACAGCCCUCUAUUUGUCUUUCUGCAGGGCCUGUCAGUGCCUUUGGUCUACAGCCAGAGACUGGGAUAUGAUAAUGCUGAAGGUCAUAGUUCUAACAUCAAAAUCUGAUCCAUGGGUAUGCUGGAAAUUUGGCGCCUUGGAGUGGGAUUUGUGGAAGACAGCUGGGUGGGGAGCUGCCAGAGAUGGGCAACAGCUCUGCCAAGGAGAGGAGGUUUUUGGAGCUCUCCAGUCUAUCAGGUCCUGCAUCCAGAUAAAUGCCCAGAAUCACGUCCUACUGCAAGAUUACUGUUGUUUUUUUCCCAGUCCUGGAGGAUGUUACAACUGGCGGUUGUAGCUUACAUCUCCUUCGCUGUUACUGACUGUUCAUAGGCUGUCGCAUUCUACCACAGUCCUAAGGUAUAAUAUUUUGCAUUUUUUUAAUUUAUUUUUAAUGAAGGAUUCUUUGUAAAUAUGUUUAAUAGUAUAUUCCAAUUCAGUGAGAAACAGAAUAUUGGGUCACUUUUUUCAUUAACAGCUUCAAAACCAGCUUAGUCAAAGAUAAAGACAAGAAUACAAGCUUUGGUUUCUAAAGAAGUUGACUCAUGAAGUCUAAAUUAGCGGGAACAAAAGAGAUAUUUACCUAAUUUUGUUUACGCAUAAUUACUUUCUGUAAUUUUGUUUUCUUGUAUCUUCUCUGGUAGUGAAUACUGUAAAGGGUGCAAUGACAAGAGAGUGAGGAACUCCUGUACAGCAUACACUAGUGCUGCUGUUUUACACAUACCAGCUGUACCCUUUACUGAAUAUAGGUUAUUAUAUUAAAAUAUAAAAAUUUGAGUAUUUAAGGCAAUAUAAGUAAAAAGCCCUUCAAGGUAACUAAAAGACUCCUGUUUAAUUAUAGAUUUAUUAUCACAGGUUUAUUAAAAUAAUUCUCAGCAAAAUUAAUUUUCUUUCAAGGAGCAAAACUCUGAAUUAUAAGAAAAGUAAUUCUGAAUCGUGUGCUAAGAUACCAGCAGUGGUUAAAUUGAAUCAGUAAGCAUUGCUUCUAAUGAGUCUGGUUCCACAGCUAUCCAAUUAAUGUAUACUUGUUAUGGUGGAGUUGGUCUGAACUACAUGCAUAUUACCAAGAAGAACUAGCUAUAUAUUCAGUUCUGUUAAGACACUAGUUUUUUUAACCUGUUAUUACCUGAAACUGCGAUAUAAUGACUAAAAUUUAUUUGUCAUUAAGGGCAGGGACUUGGUAUCAAAGACUGAGAUCGAGUUUUACUACACAUAUCCAAACUGCAGAUAAUUUCUCUUAAACAAUUACAAGGUAAAUUUUCUUUGAUAUUGGUUUAUCCUUACUAUGAAAAAGAAAAAAAAAAAUGUAUGGAACAAAAGCUUGAAUAAGUGACUCUGACAAGCUAACGCUGAAGAAAUCUUAUUAAUUUAAAAUUGUUGAAUUGGCUGCGUAGCAAUGCAGCCUGGAAACCUCAGAGAGAAAAAGAAAAUUUAAAAAUGCUGUAAGCUUUAAAUAAAACAUAAAAAUAUUUUGUGUGUAUACGUGUG
ensembl:lncRNA